CCAGGCCCAGGCAAAUGGACAGAUCUAUUCCUGAGAUGCUGUUUGCCCUCCAUUGUCAAUAUUGGCAAAGGGAGGGGGGAAUCAAUGGCAGUCUAGCUGGUUAGAUUAGUCUUUGCAGGAAAGAGACUCAAAGACCAUGUCAACACUUGUUUGACUGAUUUUUAACCUCAAGGGUGAAUCAAUUCAGUUUAAAAGGGUGGAGCCCAUAGGACAUGGAAACGCAGCCACAGAAUGCCCCCGAGUCAUGUUACCAGCAAAGAAACACACAUGGACAUUUGAGGGCCACCCACGGGUUUAUGUGAGAGCAUCAUUUGUG
rnacentral:lncRNA from 1 species